UACGUAGGGUGCAGGCGUUAAUCGGAAUUACUGGGCGUAAAGCGUGCGCAGGCGGUUUGCUAGACAGGUGUGAAAGCCCCGAGCUUAACUUGGGAAUUGCGCUUGUGACUGGCGUGCUGGAGUGUGGCAGAGGGAGGUGGAAUUCCACGUGUAGCAGUGAAAUGCGUAGAGAUGUGGAGGAACACCGAUGGCGAAGGCAGCCUCCUGGGCCAGCACUGACGCUCAUGCACGAAAGCGUGGGAGCAAACAGG
rnacentral:rRNA from 1 species